rnacentral:lncRNA from 1 species
AUAAUCAAUUAUUUUUUGGAAGAAAUAUAAUACGAUAAAAGUGGAAAUUAAGUCACAAAUACAUGUUUUCUUAUCCGGCAUACAUUGAACUUUGCUACAUUCUAGCAAAUUUUAAAACACUAAAUAAAUAACAAGAACAAAAUGGUGCUUGGCUCCUGGCUUCCCUCCUGCUCCCCUGUUGCUACAAAAAAGAAAUCAAAUAAAAUCUUAUUAAUUCUGCCAUUCUCUUAAGCAGUUAAAGACUUAAAAGAAAUAAUGCACUAAUGCAGCAACAUUAGACCAAAUAUAAGCA